GUUGGCUAGCGUGCAGCUAUCAGGCUGAGAAACAUGCUGGCUGCUAAUAGACCGGGGAUCAGGCUGGUUACUAGCUGGCUGAGCACUACUGUGCAGAUUUAUUUUAUGUGCCAUUAAUUACAUUUUUUUGUACAUUUUAGUGAAAGCCACCCCUCCUCCUGGUUCCUCCUCCACUUCCUCACCCACCUCACCUCCCGGUUCCCCCUCUCCUCCUCUCUCCGUUCAAUAUUUCUGUGUGCUGGUUCUACUGGUUCCACUGAUUCUACUUGUUCUACUGGUGAGACGAUGCAUCCAUAGGAAACCUAAAGCUGCUGAAGAAGAAGUUGGGGAGGAUGACAUCACAUACAGUCAUGUCAAAAUAUCACAUCACCUACAGCAGCCAAUCAGACACAGCAAAGAGAGUGAACCAGUCUACUCAGCAGUGAGAGGAGCAGGAGACGUCAGUUAUGGACAAAUAGUCAUCACCACAA